UACGUAGGGGGCAAGCGUUGUCCGGAUUAUUGGGCGUAAAGAGCGUGUAGGCGGCCAGGUAGGUCUGCUGUGAAAACUCGAGGCUCAACCUCGAGAUGUCGGCGGAAACCAUCUGGCUAGAGUCCGGAAGAGGAGAAUGGAAUUCCCGGUGUAGCGGUGAAAUGCGCAGAUAUCGGGAAGAACACCCGUGGCGAAGGCGGCUCUCGUGGGACGGUACUGACGCUGAGACGCGAAAGCGUGGGG
rnacentral:rRNA from 1 species